rnacentral:rRNA from 1 species
UACAGAGGUCCCAAGCGUUGUUCGGAUUCACUGGGCGUAAAGGGUGCGCAGGUGGUUUGGCAAGUUUGACGUGAAAGCCCCGGGCUUAACCCGGGGAAUGGCGUUGAAAACUGCUUGAACUGGAGGGUCGGAGGGGGGACUGGAAUUCUUGGUGUAGCAGUGAAAUGCGUAGAUAUCAAGAGGAACACCAGUGGCGAAGGCGAGUCCCUGGACGAUACCUGACACUGAGGCACGAAAGCCAAGGGAGCAAACAGG